rnacentral:lncRNA from 1 species
GUCAAUAUUGUCCCCCCUUUAGUCACUGCAGAUAUCCAGCAGUAGAGAGUUUUGGAUCAGGGCCCACCCAUCAGGUUUGCCACAAAAGGCUUUAACAUUAGUUAUAGUAUGGUUAAGCUCUAUAUACUACCAAUACAACCAUUUCCUUGGCAAUGUGGGACUAACACCAACUCAUAGGUGUUACAGACUUUCGUUGUUUAUAAUGACUAAAGGGACUUUUGUUGUUUUGUAAAGACUAAAGGGACUUUCAUUGAUCUUAAAAGACUUUUCUUUAUUCAUAGACCAAGGGACUUUCAUUGUUUACAGUCCAAGGGAAUUUUCUUUUCCAGGAUUCUCAUCGUGUUUAUAGUCCAAGGGACUGAGGGACUUUUGUAUAUCUUAGGUGUUUUUUCUUGUUUAUAGUCCAAGGGGUUUUCUUUUCCGACGUGCCUAAUUUGUCUGUAGUCCAAAAGACUAAGGGACUUCCGUUGUUUAUAGGGAAUUUUGUUAAUCUUAAGGGACUUUUCUUGUUUAUAGUCCAAAGGACUUUUCUCUUCCAACAUUCCCAUCUUGUUUAUAGUCCAAGGGACAGAAGGACUUUCGUUGAUUUUAAGGGACUUUCGUUGAUUUUAAGGGACUUUCGUUCAUCUUAAGGAGCACAAUAAAAUAUUAACAUUGAUCAUAUAUAAUCAGUUCAUG